rnacentral:rRNA from 1 species
ACGCUCGACACCUACUGGAGGCAGCAGUGGGGAAUAUUGCACAAUGGGGGAAACCCUGAUGCAGCGACGCCGCGUGAGCGAAGAAGUAUUUCGGUAUGUAAAGCUCUAUCAGCAGGGAAGAAACUGACGGUACCUGACUAAGAAGCACCGGCUAAAUACGUGCCAGCAGCCGACGGUAAUCCUGAGGCGGGCGUGGCGAAGGC